rnacentral:rRNA from 1 species
GAUGAACGCUGGCGGCGUGCCUAAUACAUGCAAGUCGAGCGAACAGACGAGGAGCUUGCUCCUCUGACGUUAGCGGCGGACGGGUGAGUAACACGUGGAUAACCUACCUAUAAGACUGGGAUAACUUCGGGAAACCGGAGCUAAUACCGGAUAAUAUAUUGAACCGCAUGGUUCAAUAGUUAAAGACGGUUUUGCUGUCACUUAUAGCUGGAUCCGCGCCGCAUUAGCUAGUUGGUAAGGUAACGGCUUACCAAGGCGACGAUGCGUAGCCGACCUGAGAGGGUGAUCGGCCACACUGGAACUGAGACACGGUCCAGACUCCUACGGGAGGCAGCAGUAGGGAAUCUUCCGCAAUGGGCGAAAGCCUGACGGAGCAACGCCGCGUGAGUGAUGAAGGUCUUCGGAUCGUAAAACUCUGUUAUUAGGGAAGAACAAAUGUGUAAGUAACUAUGCACGUCUUGACGGUACCUAAUCAGAAAGCCACGGCUAACUACGUG